AGAUUAAGUUAUUAAGGGCGCACGGUGGAUGCCUUGGCACUAGAAGCCGAUGAAGGACGUUACUAACGACGAUAUGCUUUGGGUAGCUGUAAGUAAGCGUUGAUCCAGAGAUUUCCGAAUGGGGGAACCCAGCAUGAGUUAUGUCAUGUUAUCGACAUGUGAAUUUAUAGCAUGUCAGAAGGCAGACCCGGAGAACUGAAACAUCUUAGUACCCGGAGGAAGAGAAAGAAAAAUCGAUUCCCUGAGUAGCGGCGAGCGAAACGGGAAGAGCCCAAACCAACAAGCUUGCUUGUUGGGGUUGUAGGACACUCUAUACGGAGUUACAAAAGAACAUGUUAGACGAAUCAUCUGGAAAGAUGAAUCAAAGAAGGUAAUAAUCCUGUAGUCGAAAACAUAUUCUCUCUUGAGUGGAUCCUGAGUACGACGGAGCACGUGAAAUUCCGUCGGAAUCUGGGAGGACCAUCUCCUAAGGCUAAAUACUCUCUAGUGACCGAUAGUGAACCAGUACCGUGAGGGAAAGGUGAAAAGUACCCCGGAAGGGGAGUGAAAGAGAACUUGAAACCGUGUGCUUACAAGUAGUCAGAGCCCGUUAAUGGGUGAUGGCGUGCCUUUUGUAGAAUGAACCGGCGAGUUACGAUCUGAUGCAAGGUUAAGCAGCAAAUGUGGAGCCGCAGCGAAAGCGAGUCUGAAUAGGGCGUUGAGUAUUUGGUCGUAGACCCGAAACCAGGUGAUCUACCCUUGGUCAGGUUGAAGUUCAGGUAACACUGAAUGGAGGACCGAACCGACUUACGUUGAAAAGUGAGCGGAUGAACUGAGGGUAGCGGAGAAAUUCCAAUCGAACUUGGAGAUAGCUGGUUCUCUCCGAAAUAGCUUUAGGGCUAGCCUCAAGUGAUGAUUAUUGGAGGUAGAGCACUGUUUGGACGAGGGGCCCCUCUCGGGUUACCGAAUUCAGACAAACUCCGAAUGCCAAUUAAUUUAACUUGGGAGUCAGAACAUGGGUGAUAAGGUCCGUGUUCGAAAGGGAAACAGCCCAGACCACCAGCUAAGGUCCCAAAAUAUAUGUUAAGUGGAAAAGGAUGUGGCGUUGCCCAGACAACUAGGAUGUUGGCUUAGAAGCAGCCAUCAUUUAAAGAGUGCGUAAUAGCUCACUAGUCGAGUGACACUGCGCCGAAAAUGUACCGGGGCUAAACAUAUUACCGAAGCUGUGGAUUGUCCUUUGGACAAUGGUAGGAGAGCGUUCUAAGGGCGUCGAAGCAUGAUCGCAAGGACAUGUGGAGCGCUUAGAAGUGAGAAUGCCGGUGUGAGUAGCGAAAGACGGGUGAGAAUCCCGUCCACCGAUUGACUAAGGUUUCCAGAGGAAGGCUCGUCCGCUCUGGGUUAGUCGGGUCCUAAGCUGAGGCCGACAGGCGUAGGCGAUGGAUAACAGGUUGAUAUUCCUGUACCACCUAGUAUCGUUUUAAUCGAUGGGGGGACGCAGUAGGAUAGGCGAAGCGUGCUGUUGGAGUGCACGUCCAAGCAGUAAGGCUGAGUGUUAGGCAAAUCCGGCACUCAUAAGGCUGAGCUGUGAUGGGGAGAGGAAAUUGUUUCCUCGAGUCGUUGAUUUCACACUGCCGAGAAAAGCCUCUAGAUAGAUAACAG
rnacentral:rRNA from 1 species